CUCCGGGGGUAGAGCACUGUUUCGGCAAGGGGGUCAUCCCGACUUACCAACCCGAUGCAAACUGCGAAUACCGGAGAAUGUUAUCACGGGAGACACACGGCGGGUGCUAACGUCCGUCGUGAAGAGGGAAACAACCCAGACCGCCAGCUAAGGUCCCAAAGUCAUGGUUAAGUGGGAAACGAUGUGGGAAGGCCCAGACAGCCAGGAUGUUGGCUUAGAAGCAGCCAUCAUUUAAAGAAAGCGUAAUAGCUCACUGGUCGAGUCGGCCUGCGCGGAAGAUGUAACGGGGCUAAACCAUGCACCGAAGCUGCGGCAGCGACGCUUAUGCGUUGUUGGGUAGGGGAGCGUUCUGUAAGCCUGCGAAGGUGUGCUGUGAGGCAUGCUGGAGGUAUCAGAAGUGCGAAUGCUGACAUAAGUAACGAUAAAGCGGGUGAAAAGCCCGCUCGCCGGAAGACCAAGGGUUCCUGUCCAACGUUAAUCGGGGCAGGGUGAGUCGACCCCUAAGGCGAGGCCGAAAGGCGUAGUCGAU
rnacentral:rRNA from 1 species